rnacentral:tRNA from 1 species
GUUCUCUUAGUUAAAUGGAUAUAACGACAGCCUCCUAAGCUGUAAUUGUGGGUUCGAUUCCCGCAGGGAACAC